rnacentral:rRNA from 1 species
CUACAGUCAUACCACCCUGAGCAUGCCAGAUCUGGUCUGAUCUCAGAAACUAAGUAGGAUAGGGCUUUAAUAGUACCUGGAUAGUAGGAAAACAAAGAUAUGAAAUAGA